ensembl:lncRNA
CACCCCCCGGAUCCCCUGCCAGAUCCCCUUCCACUCUCUCCAAGUUCUUCAGCCUCUCUUCCCUCUCCUCUCUCCACAUGUCAUCUCUCUCUUCCUCUUCUUCUUCUUCAGAGGAGGGAUCACAGACCUCCUCCCAUUUUAGUGCUUCCUGUGUUCCCCUGGCUGUCUCAACUCAGUCAUCCUCCUCUGCCACUCCCCCCAGUCCUGCCUGCCCUUCCUCCCCAACCCACGUCUCCUCCCCUGCCCCCCAGUCCUCCUCUCCAAACCCCCUUGACCACCAUGGAGAGACCAACAAAGACAGUGAGACUGCCAGAGAUCUUAUGAGUUCCGAGGUCAAAGAGGUGGGGGCAGUUCUUCCACAAACAAAGAGAAUGGUACCCCUAUUUGCUGGCAUCGCAGAGGCCUCCAUUGACCAGAGGGCUUCCUCUGUCUCCUUGGAGAGGCCAUUGGUCAGGUCUCGGGACGCCAUGGCCCGCCUCCGCAACCUGUUCAGUAAGAGUAGCACCCAGCUGGGGGAGCAGAGCUGCACAGGCGAGGGUGAAGACAACACCAAGCUCCUCGGGUUGCCUAAUAUUGGCAACACCUGCUUCAUGAACUCUGCUCUGCAGUGCCUGCUGGGGCUGCCAGCAUUUUGUAGAGACAUCCUGAGACAGCA